rnacentral:rRNA from 1 species
GACAGAGGGUGCAAACGUUGUUCGGAUUUACUGGGCGUAAAGCGUGUGUAGGCGGCUUGGCAAGUUGGAUGUGAAAGCCCACGGCUCAACCGUGGAAGCGCAUCCAAAACUGCUUCGCUCGAGUCUCGGAGAGGAAGGUGGAAUGCUUGGUGUAGAGGUGAAAUUCGUAGAUAUUCGGAAGAACACCAGUGGCGAAGGCGACUCACUGGACACAUAUUGACGCUGAGGUGCGAAAGCGUGGGGAGCAAACAGG